AUUAAACGCUGGCGGCAUGCUUUACACAUGCAAGUCGAACGGCAGCGCGGGCUUCGGCCUGGCGGCGAGUGGCGAACGGGUGAGUAAUACAUCGGAACGUGCCCAGUAGUGGGGGAUAGCUCGGCGAAAGCCGGAUUAAUACCGCAUACGACCUGAGGGUGAAAGCGGGGGAUCUUCGGACCUCGCGCUAUUGGAGCGGCCGAUGGCAGAUUAGCUAGUUGGUGGGGUAAAGGCCUACCAAGGCGACGAUCUGUAGCUGGUCUGAGAGGACGACCAGCCACACUGGGACUGAGACACGGCCCAGACUCCUACGGGAGGCAGCAGUGGGGAAUUUUGGACAAUGGGCGAAAGCCUGAUCCAGCAAUGCCGCGUGUGUGAUGAAGGCCUUCGGGUUGUAAAGCACUUUUGGCGGGAACGAAAAGGACUGUGCCAAUACCACGGUUCGAUGACGGUACCCGCAGAAUAAGCACCGGCUAACUACGUG
rnacentral:rRNA from 1 species